UACAGAGACUGCAAACGUUAUUCGGAUUCACUGGGCGUAAAGGGUGCGCAGGUGGCCAGGUGUGUUAGGCGUGAAAGCCCGGGGCUUAACCCCGGAAUUGCACCUAAAACUACUUGGCUAGAGCAUUGGAGAGGGGAGCAGAAUUCACGGUGUAGCAGUGAAAUGCGUAGAUAUCGUGAGGAAUACCAGAGGCGAAGGCGGCUCCCUGGACAAUUGCUGACACUCAGGCACGAAAGCGUGGGGAGCAAAAGGG
rnacentral:rRNA from 1 species